rnacentral:tRNA from 1 species
GUCCCCAUCGUCUAGCCCGGUCAGGACUCCAGAUUUUCAUUCUGGCAACAGGGGUUCGAAUCCCCUUGGGGAUGCCA